UACGGAGGGUGCAAACGUUGCUCGGAAUCAUUGGGCGUAAAGAGCUCGUAGGCGGCCUGUUACGUCUGCUGUGAAAUCCCGGGGCUUAACCCCGGGCGUGCAGUGGAUACGGGCAGGCUGGAGGCAGGCAGGGGAGAACGGAAUUCCCGGUGUAGCGGUGAAAUGCGCAGAUAUCGGGAGGAACACCGGUGGCGAAGGCGGUUCUCUGGGCCUGUACUGACGCUGAGGAGCGAAAGCGUGGGGAGCGAACAGG
rnacentral:rRNA from 1 species